GAUGAAGAACGCAGCGAAAUGCGAUAAGUAAUGUGAAUUGCAGAAUUCAGUGAAUCAUCGAAUCUUUGAACGCACAUUGCGCCCGCCAGUAUUCUGGCGGGCAUGCCUGUUCGAGCGUCAUUUCAACCAUCAAGCCCCCGGCUUGUGUUGGGGACCUGCGGCUGCCGCAGGCCCUGAAAAGCAGUGGCGGGCUCGCUGUCACACCGAGCGUAGUAGCACACAUCUCGCUCUGGGCGUGCUGCGGGUUCCGGCCGUUAAACCACCUUCAUAACCCAAGGUUGACCUCGGAUCAGGUAGGAAGACCCGCUGAACUUAAGCAUAUCAAUAAGCGGAGGA
rnacentral:misc_RNA from 1 species